rnacentral:lncRNA from 10 species
GCCCGCACCUCAGGAAAAGCACAAUCAUUGAAGAAAAGAAACAAACAUACUGCUAAUAAAAAGAAUGUCUCCUUGUGGCUACUGAAACCCACAUGUCAACUGCUAUAGCUGUCAGCCUACCAGGAAUAACCCCUGCUUCAAACCCCAAGAAGCCCAUUUACUAUUUUAAUGACAAGAACUUGCUAAUGUGGGCAUAUGAACUGUAUCCUUGGAAAGGAAUGCCGUCCAUACCAGGAAGUCCUUGAGAAGGCUUGAGUUCUUGCCAUAACUAAAAAUCCGAUGAUGCAUUACCAAUGACUUCAUCCCCAAAUGAAAGCUAGCAGCCUGCUUCCGUAAUCCUCAUGGAGAGUUAUACCAAGAAAAGACAACUUUGGAAAAACAUGCAAGAGAGAGGCUUCAUUUUCUCUUUUGAAUAAAAGAAAGAAACCAGUCUAUGUGACUACGGAGGAGGCACCAUGCAGGCCCUGGUGUGGGGGCCUGUGUUUCUCCUACAAUGCUGACAGCUAGGGAUUUACCAGAGACUUAAAAAAUGAAAAAACUGCUAAUGAAAAUUAGCUGUGUGUGGUGGCGCGCGCCUGUAAUCCCAGCAGGAGGCUGAAGCACAAGAAUCACUUGAACCUGGGAGGUGGAAUUUGCAGUAAGCCAGGAUCACGCCACUGCACUCCAGCCUGGGCGACAGAGUGAGACUCCAUCUCCAACCAACCAACCAACCGACCCCACUUCUCCAUGCUUCUCAGAAUACAUUUGCAUUUUUGGAUGGAGGGCAAGGCUUUCUAGUGGGGUAAGCAAGAACUGGGUUUGGGGCUUGAGUUUAUCUCAUAUUAGCCAGGUGACACUUAAGAAGGUACUUAGCAUCUAUUGCUAAACUUCAUUUAUUCAAUUAGUAACUACUUGUUGGACACCAUAGUUUCCACUUCAUAAAAACAGAAAUCCUAGUACUUACCUCAUGUGACUAUUGGGAAUGUUACGGGUUAAUGCCUGUGAGGCUUUCAACACAAUGCCCAGAACAGAAAGCAAAUGAUUCUUGUGAGCUAAUGAAAAAUGUUGCUUUAUGCAAAGAAGGAAGUUGAGGUAGAAACAACAAUAUAUUUUAAGGAACAUAUUGUCAAUGUUAUACUAAAUUAAGUGGGUUAAGAUGUAUUUCUCAUAAUUAAAGAAAAAGAAUUAGGAGCUGCACAAAUAAAAUAGUCACUAGAUGCUUUUCCACAUGUAAUAAUGGAAGAUUACUUAAUGCCAGGCUUGUGGUGCAAAGUCAGACACAGUAAUGCUCCAUAAAUACAGCUAAGGCUAUGGAUACAAACUCCCAGUUUGUCCAGUGUUAAUACCUCGUCCGGGGGUCAAUGUUUAAAGACAUUUUAAGGUUGGUCUUUUUCCCUCAGGAGUUUAUGACCGAAAUGAUCUGUUCGGUUGUCUGCUUCUCCUGUUGGAUUUGAACCAUGUUUGUGGAACUUUUUGGAAUAAAAGAAACCAGUCUGUGUGACUACAGAGGAGCCACCAGGCAGACCUGUGCCGCAUUCACCAGUUUUCCCAGUGUCUAGCCCCAUGCCUGGCACAGAGUAGGCCCUCAAAAAUGCGUUUUGUGCUCAUUUGAACAGAAAUUUACUAUCAGUUUGGUUACUUAUGUCACUGGAUGAUCAUCUGAUGUUUGGUUGUGAGAUAGCAUCAGCCAAUUCUUCCCUGGGUUUUCCCAAUUAUUUCCUCAGGUAUUAGCUACCUCAUGCUCCAAAAUCAAAGGCCCCGGAGAAUGGUUUUUGGAAAUUUGGCUCCAUAACUUUUGUUUUUCUCUUACCUGAAAGUUAUUGGUUCUUCUCUGCUAUUUCUAACCCCCCUGCUCCUAGGUAAAGCAGAUUUCAAAUUCCCACAUUGCAAUACUUGGGUUUAGGGCCAUGGGAUUCAUGUGUGGGUUUCAUUUCAGAAACUGAGCCUAAGCAUUUUCCUGUGGAGCUAGCAUGAAUAUCCACACAGUUGUUAAACAUUGGCAACCGCAUCUCUUUGAGCACAUUAAAAUCCACAACACCUGGAGUCUGAAAUGCUCACCUAUUGUAAGACGCACAAGCUUUUUCUGUGAGGGUUGGCCACUGUAAAAGUACAGAUCAAAGAGACGUUCCAUUUUCCAGUCUGAUAAGAGCUGCCUGUUUGUGCAAAAAAGGAUGCUGUAAUUUCCAUUGAUGUUGCACAGCCAAAUAGGUAAUUUGGGAGUCUUCAGCAUGCUGCCCACCUGGAAAGGGGAAGGGGAAUGCAGAUAAAUAUAUAGAUUUUGCCACAUUGUGACACAUGCCGAUACAUGAUCGCGACCAAAAAGCAGCUCUGAGGUUUCUUGUUGCACUUGUCGCGUGCAGGGCACUGUACAUAGAGCAAGAUUUGAAAUCAAGGCUUCGUCAUGAAUAAAUUUGCAUUUAUGAAUGAUCUGGUAUAGUGGUGCUGCCAUUUUUAUCUUAAUGGAUUAUAUUAAAAUUUUUUUGGUGGCCUCACAGAGGAGGCAAAACAACUUCAGUUUGGCUUUGAGGCGAAGUGAAGAAUAAAUAUAUAAACUAAAAUAGGAAUGUAGUGGUGGAAUAAGAGAACUCUAAUUCUGUGUUUGUCACUGACUAGCAUAUCUGCUCCCAUUCCCAAGAUAAGGCAAUAAUUCAUUCAGCAGGUGGUGGUAAGACUUCUGGCAACAUCAACUAUUUAGAAUAUAGAAAAAAUGAUAUUUAAGAUAUAUAAAAUAGCUUCUGGAAAAUGAGGGAAACACAUACACACAUCACACAUAUACACAUAUAUCUACAGGUUAACAUGAUCAUUUGUGAAGAUGUUCCUAGACAGCAGCUUGUUAUCGGUUUUUUUCUAAGUACUUG